CGUUUUAAAAUAAGGAGGCUGGUCUGAAGGUAGUGAAUUACUCAGUUGAUUGUUCAGAGUCAGUUACAGAUCGAACUUCUUAUUCUACUCCUUCCCCCUUCACACUACUGCACUUGACAACUAAAAAAAAAAAAAAAAAAAAAAAGCAAAGAAGAUGUACAAAUGCAAAUAGGCAUAUUAAAGGUGCCCAGCAUU